rnacentral:rRNA from 1 species
UCUGACGGCCACAGCAGCGGGGAAACACCCGGUCCCAUCUCGAACCCGGCAGUAAAGUCCGCUCACGUACCUGUCUGUACUGUGCUA